UACAGAGGUGGCAAGCGUUGUUCGGAAUUACUGGGCGUAAAGGGCGCGUAGGCGGGUGCUCAAGUCCGGGGUGAAAUCCUCCAGCUCAACUGGAGAACUGCCUCGGAUACUGGGUGCCUCGAGUGUGGUAGGGGUGUGCGGAACUAUCGGUGGAGCGGUGAAAUGCGUUGAUAUCGAUAGGAACUCCGGUGGCGAAGGCGGCACACUGGACCACAACUGACGCUGAGGCGCGAAAGCCAGGGGAGCAAACGGG
rnacentral:rRNA from 1 species